GUUUCAGACAAAGAGGAGGAGCAAAUGUCAGUUUUACCAUUAAAAAGUCUGAAAGAAAUAGAGAUCUUCGAAAAAAAUUGGAAAAUGAAACAUUUGCCUUAGACCUGAUAAAUGAGCUGGCAGAAAACAUACCAAAUAACGAAAGGGCGACAGUUCGCGCCCUUAGACCAAAGAUAUGGCUAAACUAUUUGCAGCAAAGCAAAUGCAAAGGGCAGAAAAGGGAAAUUAAACUUCUCAGGAUUAAAUCUGUCCAAUAUUAUAAUUCAAGCCAUACAAAAAAAAAUACAAAGGGUGUACAAAAGAAAAUAUUACAUUAAAUCUAGGAUUUGUCCUAGCGCAUGCUGGAGAUUGGGGC